rnacentral:rRNA from 1 species
UACGGAGGGUGCAAGCGUUGUCCGGAUUCAUUGGGUUUAAAGGGUGCGCAGGCGGGACAUUAAGUCAGGGGUGAAAGACGGUUGCUCAACAAUCGCAGUGCCUUUGAUACUGGUGUUCUUGGGUAACCUUGAGGUAGGCGGAAUGGGUGGUGUAGCGGUGAAAUGCGCAGAUAUCAGGAGGAACACCCGUGGCGAAAGCGGCUCUCUGGAACGGUACUGACGCUGAGGCGCGAAAGCGUGGGGAGCGAACAGG